UGGAAGUAUUUACCCAAUGCCUAUACACUUCUUGUAUCUUGGAAUUAGAUAACUUGUUUUUUUAUUUCACAGGCUCUUAGGUAGAAGGCACUAGCCUUAUCUCUGAUGAGACUUUGAACUGUGAAUGUUUGAGUUAAUGCUGGCAUGAGUUAAGCCUGGGGAACUGCUGGGAAAGUGUAAUGGUGUUUUGCAAUGUGAGAAGGACAUGAGAUUUAGGAGGGGCUGGGGGUGAAAUAAUAUGGUUUGGAUCUGUGUCCCCACCCAAAUCUCAUAUUGAAAUACAGUCUCUAAUGCUAGAAGUGGGGACUUGUGGGAGGUUACUGAAUCGAGGGAGCAUUUUCUCAUGGUUUCACACCAUUCCUCCUUGGUGCUGUCAUUGUGAAUAGUGAAUUCUUCUGAAAUCUUGUUGCUUAAAAGUGUGUUACCUCCCUUCGUCUCUCUCUCUCUUGGUCCUGCUCCUGCCAUGUAAGCUGCCUGAUCCCACUUUGCCAUCUGCCAUGAAUAAAAGCUUUCUGAGGUCUCCCUAGAAGCAAAUGCUUCCAUGCUUCUUGUACAACCUGUGGAACCAAGAGCCAGUUAAACCUCUUUAUAAGUUAUCCAGUGUCAGGUAUUUCUUUUAGCAAUGCAAGAAUGGACUAAUACAGGCUUUAUGUCUUUAUUUUUCACAUUUAGGUAUAUAAUCCACCUUGAAGUGACUUUCCUUUCUUUGGGCCUUUUUUUCUACUGGCAAGAACUACUGGCACUGUGUUGAAUAAAAGUGAUGAGAGCAAACAUGCUUGUCAUAUUUUGAAUUUUAGGAGGAUAAUAUUCAGUUUUUCAUCAAGAGGUAUAGUGUUAAUUGUGGAUUUUAAAAUAGAUUCUUUUGUAAAGUUGAGGUAGUUAUUCAUUCCUAUUUUUAUUAUAAAUUAAUACUGUAUUGUGUCAAAUGCUUUAUUUGCAGAUUUAUAUGUUUGUGUAAUUUUUCUUCUUUGGCUAUUAAUUUGGCUGUUAAUAUGGUG
rnacentral:lncRNA from 13 species